rnacentral:rRNA from 1 species
UACGUAGGGACCGAGCGUUGUCCGGAAUCAUUGGGCGUAAAGAGCGUGUAGGCGGCCUUUUAAGUCCUUCGUGAAAUCCUGCGGCUCAACCUCAGACGGUCGUGGGAAACUGGAAGGCUAGAGUGCGGGAGAGGAGAGUGGAAUUCCCGGUGUAGCGGUGAAAUGCGCAGAUAUCGGGAAGAACACCCGUGGCGAAGGCGGCUCUCUGGAACGCAACUGACGCUGAGACGCGAAAGCGUGGGGAGCAAACAGG